CACAACAUACAUUCAUCUGUCCACCACCAUUACUUUUCAUCACCAGAUUUACAUAAUAUCCCAGGUCCAUUUUAGAUUGUGGAUGUUCCAGUUAUGUUUGAGAUAUUAAUGAGCAAAACAGAGUGCGAAGACAGAAGGUGGAAGGAAUUGAUCUUUUGAUUUCAUAGAGUAAUCGCUGAUCGGAAAAAAAAAUUAACAGAAAUAAAUUGAUGAUGAAAACAUAAAAAAAAAUAAUAAACAGAUGUAGAUGUUAGUUGCAGAUAUCUGGGAAAAUAAUGAAGAAGACAGGAGAAAAGGGUUAACCGGUUGUCUUCAAGGGUAGUUUGGUAUAUAUUUUAGAAAAUACGUUGAAUAUCUUGGUCAAAUUUUUUUUUAGUUAGUUACCUAAUUAUAAAAUUUUUGUUGGUCAUACAGUCCAAUUUCCCUAAUAAUAUUAUGCUUUUGUCAUAGAAAAAUAAAAAAGAUUUAAUAAAUUGUUGCUGGUGUUUUGGCAUAAUAAGGUGUACAAUACUAUGAAAUAAUAAAUAUUGAUAUUGUGUCUUCCCUUUUCUUUUUUUUGUACAAUUGCAUAAAUUAACAAAAAGAAAAGAUAUUGGAAUUUGUUAUUACUUUCAUAUUAAAAAUUGAAAUAAAAAUGGUAACAGCUUCACAUACGUCUUCCUUCGAUGUCGUUCGAGGAAGAAGAAAAGGAGGAGGAGACAUUCAAGCAUACACUUCUCGUGUUACGUGAGGUCUCCAGGAUCGAACCACAUCUGUGGGAUACAAGUGUGGCGAAUGGCUUCAGUCCGAUAAGAUAUGGUUCGGCAGACUCCACGUCGUAUCGUGGAAGGAUCGAUGCGAGAUCCGGCGCGAGGAUUCGAACUCUGGCGAUCUAUUCACGGCUUGUAUUGAAAUAUCCAGGGACAGGGGAAUGAAUACAACAAACUGUUCGCAGACAACGGCAUCUAUAGCUGUGCAGGAUGGGAACUCCUCUAUACAAAAAUCCGCCACCAAGUUAGACUCUGGCCUGCUUUCUUUGACGGCGCCAUAUUUUGUUAGUUUUAUGUCUGACCUUCUUAUGUCUCUGCCUUUGUGCAUAUAUGAACGCAAGUUGUAGUACAAAAUCUUCGAAAAUUCUUGUUUAGAAGAUUAGAAUAA